GACGAACGCUGGCGGCGUGCUUAACACAUGCAAGUCGAACGGAAAGGCCCUGCUUUUGUGGGGUGCUCGAAUGGCGAACGGGUGAGUAACACGUGAGUAACCUGCCCUUGACUUUGGGAUAACUUCAGGAAACUGGGGCUAAUACCGGAUAGGAGCUCCUGCUGCAUGGUGGGGGUUGGAAAGUUUCGGCGGUUGGGGAUGGACUCGCGGCUUAUCAGCUUGUUGGUGGGGUAGUGGCUUACCAAGGCUUUGACGGGUAGCCGGCCUGAGAGGGUGACCGGCCACAUUGGGACUGAGAUACGGCCCAGACUCCUACGGGAGGCAGCAGUGGGGAAUAUUGCACAAUGGGCGGAAGCCUGAUGCAGCAACGCCGCGUGCGGGAUGACGGCCUUCGGGUUGUAAACCGCUUUCGCCUGUGACGAAGCGUGAGUGACGGUAAUGGGGAAAGAAGCACCGGCUAACUACGU
rnacentral:rRNA from 1 species